rnacentral:rRNA from 1 species
ACUCAAAGGAAUAGACGGGAGCCCGCACAAGCGGUGGAUUAUGUGGUUUAAUUCGAAGCAACGCGCAGAACCUUACCUGGGUUUGACAUCCUUUGACAAACAUAGAGAUAUGUCUUUUCUAGCAAUAGAACAAAGAGACAGGUGCUGCAUGGCUGUCGUCAGCUCGUGUGGUGGCAUGUCGGGUUAAGUCCCUCAACGAGCGCAACCCCUGUGUUUAGUUGCCAGCAUUAAGUUGGGCACUCUAGACAGACUGCCGUGGUUAACACGGAGGAAGGCGGGGAUGACGUCAAGUCCUCAUGGCCCUUACAUCCAGGGCGACACACGUAAUACAAUGGUCGGUACAGAGGGACGCGAAACGGCGACGUGGAGCUAAUCUCAAAAAGCCGAUCUCAGUUCGGAUUGAAGUCUGCAACUCGACUUCAUGAAGGCGGAAUCGCUAGUAAUCGCGGAUCAGCACGCCGCGGUGAAUACGUUCCCGGGCUUUGUACACACCGCCCGU